CCCUUAGAUGUUCUGGGCUGCACGCGCGCUACACUGAAGCGUUCAACGAGUAUUCACCUUGCCCGGGAGGGUUGGGUAAUCUUUUGAAAACGCUUCGUGAUGGGGAUAGAUUAUUGCAAUUAUUAAUCUUCAACGAGGAAUUCCUAGUAAGCGCGAGUCAUCAGCUCGUGCUGAUUACGUCCCUGCCCUUUGUACACACCGCCCGUCGCACCUACCGAUUGAAUGGUCCGGUGAAAUCUUCGGAUUGAGACUUUGAUUUCUUCACGGAAAACGCUGUUUUAAAAAGUUGAUUAAACCUUACCAUUUAGAGGAAGGUGAAGUCGUAACA
rnacentral:rRNA from 1 species